UUGCUCACUUCGGCACAGAUACUAAAAUUGGAACAAUACAGAUGAGAUUAGCAUGUCCCCUUUGCAAGAAUGACACGCUAACUCAUGAAGUGUUCCAUAUUAAA